UACGAGGGGGGCAAGUGUUGUUCGGAAUCACUGGGCGUAAAGGGAGCGUAGGCGGACGUUUAAGUUGGAUGUUUAAAACCGGGGCCCAACCUCGGAGCGGCAUCCAAAACUGGGCGUCUUGAAUGGAACAGAGGCUGGUGGAAUUGGAGGUGUAGCGGUGGAAUGCGUAGAGAUCUCCAAGAACACCUAUUGCGAAGGCAGCCAGCUGGGACCAUAUUGACGCUGAGGCUCGAAAGCAUGGGGAGCAAACAGG
rnacentral:rRNA from 1 species